rnacentral:rRNA from 1 species
AAGUCGUAACAAGGUCUUCGUAGGUGAACCUGCGAAGGGAUCAUUACCGAGUGAGGGCCCCCGGCCCGACCUCCAACCCUUUGUUGAACUUCCGCGUUGCCUCGGGGGGCGACCCGGCCUUCGUGCCGGGACCCCCGAUGGACCCAACCAAAACUCUUUGCAUUGUCGUGCGUCGGAGUAUUAAAGUAAAUCAAUCAAAACUUUCAACAACGGAUCUCUUGGUUCUGGCAUCGAUGAAGAACGCAGCGAAAUGCGAUAAGUAAUGUGAAUUGCAGAAUUCAGUGAAUCAUCGAAUCUUUGAACGCACAUUGCGCCCUUUGGUAUUCCGAAGGGCAUGCCCGUUCGAGCGUCAUUUCACCAAUCAAGCCUGGCUUGGUGUUGGGCCCCGGGGAGACCCGGGCCCCAAAGUUCGCCGGCCGGACGUCCCGGAUCUCAGCGUUGUGGCAUCAAAACCCGCGGAGAGAUGGGGCGGCCGCGCCGUCACAAAACCCAUUUUCAUGAAAGGUUGACCUCGGAUCGGGUAGGGAUACCCGCUGAACUUAA